rnacentral:rRNA from 3 species
UACGAAGGGGGCUAGCGUUGUUCGGAUUUACUGGGCGUAAAGCGCACGUAGGCGGUUUGUUAAGUGAGAGGUGAAAUCCCAGAGCUCAACUCUGGAACUGCCUUUCAUACUGGCAAGCUAGAGUCCGGAAGAGGUAAGUGGAACUCCUAGUGUAGAGGUGGAAUUCGUAGAUAUUAGGAAGAACACCAGUGGCGAAGGCGGCUUACUGGUCCGGAACUGACGCUGAGGUGCGAAAGCGUGGGGAGCAAACAGG